UACGUAGGUGGCAAGCGUUGUCCGGAUUUACUGGGCGUAAAGAGCGCGCAGGCGGUCGUUCAAGUCGCGUGUGAAAGCCCCCGGCUCAACUGGGGAGGGUCACGCGAUACUGAUCGACUCGAAGGCAGGAGAGGGCAGUGGAAUUCCACGUGUAGCAGUGAAAUGCGUAGAUAUCUGGAGGAACACCGGUGGCGAAGGCGGCAUCCUGGACCGAGACUGACACUGAGGAGCGAAAGCCAGGGGAGCAAACGGG
rnacentral:rRNA from 1 species